GAAAACCAGCUAUGAACAACUGUCAUGGGAUACUGGGCUAACUUUAUUCAUGCUGGCUCUCCAAAUGAUCCCAGUCUUGUGCACUGGCCUGUGUACACAGCAAAUUUGAAAGUGUUAAAUUGACACUCAGAGUGAGAAAAUUAACACUUUUUCGGGGUUUAUAUAGGUCCACACUAAAUAGAGUUAAACUAACACUUUAAAUAGUGUUACUUUUUUUUUACACUUGCAUAGAGUAAAAACAACACUGUAAGUGUUCACCGUUAACACCAUUAGUGUUUUCCCUCCCCCUCAUUUACACCAAGUUAGUGUUGAAACUACACUACGUGUGUCAAUAUCUUAACACCAAGAGACUUAUUUCCACACUAAUAUAGUGUUCAUACUAACCCUGAUUAAGGUAAUUAAGUGUAAUCUGUAUUCGACUAAAAAUACCUGUGCAUUGUGUA